rnacentral:rRNA from 1 species
CAGCAGCCGCGGUAAUACGGAGGAUCCAAGCGUUAUCCGGAAUCAUUGGGUUUAAAGGGUCCGUAGGCGGUUUAGUAAGUCAGUGGUGAAAGCCCAUCGCUCAACGGUGGAACGGCCAUUGAUACUGCUAAACUUGAAUUAUUAGGAAGUAACUAGAAUAUGUAGUGUAGCGGUGAAAUGCUUAGAGAUUACAUGGAAUACCAAUUGCGAAGGCAGGUUACUACUAAUGGAUUGACGCUGAUGGACGAAAGCGUGGGUAGCGAACAGGAUUAGAUACCCUGGUAGUCCACGCCGUAAACGAUGGAUACUAGCUGUUGGGAGCAAUUUCAGUGGCUAAGCGAAAGUGAUAAGUAUCCCACCUGGGGAGUACGUUCGCAAGAAUGAAACUCAAAGGAAUUGACGG